AGAACGAACGCUGGCGGCAUGCCUAAUACAUGCAAGUCGAACGAGAUCUUCGGAUCUAGUGGCGCACGGGUGCGUAACGCGUGGGAAUCUACCCUUGGGUUCGGAAUAACAGUUGGAAACGACUGCUACUACCGGAUGAUGACGAAAGUCCAAAGAUUUAUCGCCCAGGGAUGAGCCCGCGUAGGAUUAGCUAGUUGGUGAGGUAAAGGCUCACCAAGGCUACGAUCCUAGCUGGUCUGAGAGGAUGAUCAGCCACACUGGGACUGAGACACGGCCCAGACUCCGUACGGAGCAGCAGUAGGGAAUAGUUGGACAAGUGGGGGACAACCCUGACUCCAGCAAUCGCCGCGUAGAGUGAUGGAAGGUCCUUAGGGUUCGUAAAGUCUUAC
rnacentral:rRNA from 1 species